rfam:Helianthus annuus linkage group 14, whole genome shotgun sequence.
AAAUGCCCUAUGGUAUCUGAUGCCUUGACCUAAUUAAUGUUUUAGGCAUCUCGUUAGACGGGCAGAUAGCGAUGAAAACAGGUUUGCGACACAGUUUGCUGCUACAUUUCUAAGCUUACUGUUACUUUUAUUACUGUUCACAUUU